AGCAGCCGCGGUAAUUCCAGCUCCAAUAGCGUAUAUUAAAGUUGUUGCAGUUAAAAAGCUCGUAGUUGAAUUUCGGGAUCAGCAGGUUGGUCGUGCCACUGGUAUGUACUGGCCUUGCUGAUUCUUUCCUCUUGAUGAGCCGUAAUGCCAUUAAUUUGGUGUUGCGGGGAAUCAGGACUGUUACUUUGAAAAAUUAGAGUGUUUAAAGCAGGCAAGCGCUUGAAUACAUUAGCAUGGAAUAAUGAGAUAGGACGUUUUGAUCCUAUUUUGUUGGUUUCUAGGAUUGACGUAAUGAUUAAUAGGGAUAGUUGGGGGCAUUAGUAUUCAAUUGUCAGAGGUGAAAUUCUUGGAUUUAUUGAAGAC
rnacentral:sRNA from 1 species